rnacentral:rRNA from 1 species
AGCAAACCNCAGAAAGCCAAUCUCAGUUCGGAUUGUAGGCUGCAACUCGCCUACAUGAAGUUGGAAUCGCUAGUAAUCGCGAAUCAGAAUGUCGCGGUGAAUACGUUCCCGGGUCUUGUACACACCGCCCGUCACACCACGAGAGUUUACAAUACCCGAAGUCAGUGGCCUAACCGCAAGGAGGGAGCUGCCUAAGGUGGGGUAGAUGAUUGGGGUGAAGUCGUAACAAGGUACC